CACUAGCUCUUAAAGUUUUUUUUUAAUUUUUAUUAGGGAGCAUGUCUUGAUACUAGAAGAUCCACCACAUGUUUAAAUUUUUUUUCUUGGAACUUCAUUAACUAGUUGGAAGAGCAAAAUCCAAAUAGUUAUGUCAAGAUCACCAUCUAAAGCUAAAUUUAAAGCAUUAGCACAAACAACCUGUGAAUGGCAAUGGAUUCUCUACUUGUUAUAAUACUUUCAAAUUAAG
rnacentral:lncRNA from 1 species